ensembl:lincRNA
AUGUGUUUACCUGAUGCUACAUAUCAAAAAGAUAUCAAAACAAUAAAUCACAAAAUAGAAGAUCAGAUGUUCCCAUCAGAAUCCAAACGAGAGGAAGAUGAAGAAUAUUCUUGGGAUUCUGGGAGUCUCUUUGAGAGUUCUGCAAAGACUCAAGUGUGUAUACCUGAGUCUAUAUAUCAGAAAGUAAUGGAGAUAAAUAGAGAAGUAGAAGAGCUUCCUGAGAAGCCAUCUGCCUUCAAGCCUGCCGUUGAAAUGCAAAAGACUGUUCCAAAUAAAGCCUUUGAAUUGAAGAAUGAACAAACAUUGAGAGCAGCUCAGAUGUUCCCAUCAGAAUCCAAACAAAAGGACGAUGAAGAAAAUUCUUGGGAUUCUGAGAGUCCCUGUGAGACUGUUUCACAGAAGGAUGUGUAUUUACCCAAAGCUACACAUCAAAAAGAAUUUGAUACCUUAAUUGGAAAAUUAGAAGAGUCUCCUGUUAAAGAUGGUCUUCUGAAGCCUACCUGUGGAAGGAAAGUUUCUCUUCCAAAUAAAGCCUUAGAAUUAAAGGACAGAGAAACAUUCAAAGCAGAGUCUCCUGAUAAUGAUGGUCUUCUGAAGCCUACCUGUGGAAGGAAAUUUUCUCUUCCAAAUAAAGCUUUAGAAUUGAAGGACAGAGAAACAUUCAAAGCAGCUCAGAUGUUCCCAUCAGAAUCCAAACAAAAGGACGAUGAAGAACAUUCUUGGGAUUUUGAGAGUUUCCUUGAGACUCUCUUACAGAAUGAUGUGUGUUUACCCAAGGCUACACAUCAAAAAGAAUUCGAUACCUUAAGUGGAAAAUUAGAAGAGUCUCCUGAUAAAGAUGGUCUUCUGAAGCCUACCUGUGGAAUGAAAAUUUCUCUUCCAAAUAAAGCCUUAGAAUUGAAGGACAGAGAAACAUUCAAAGCAGUGGAUGUGAGUUCUGUAGAGUCCACAUUCAGUCUUUUUGGCAAACCGACUACUGAAAAUUCACAGUCUACAAAAGUUGAGGAAGACUUUAAUCUUACUACCAAGGAGGGAGCAACAAAGACAGUAACUGGACAACAAGAACGUGAUAUUGGCAUUACUGAACGAGCUCCACAAGAUCAAACAAUUAAUGACAAUUUUAUUUUUUAUACCAAAAUAAUAGAAGUGAUAAGAUGCCCACAUCAGAAUUAGGAAAAAAAGAAGAUCCAAAAUCAACUUCAGAUUCUGAGAUUAUCUCUGUGAGUGAUACACAGAAUUAUGAGUGUUUACCUGAGGCUACAUAUCAAAAAGAAAUAAAGACAACAAAUGGCAAAAUAGAAGGUAAGAACCAUUUUUUAUUUAAAACAUCUUUUGUCCAAAUGUUUGUCUCAAAGCA